UCGAGGAUCUUCGGCAAUGGGCGCAAGCCUGACCGAGCGACGCCGCGUGUGCGAUGAAGGCCUUCGGGUUGUAAAGCACUGUCGAGGGGGAGUAAGCCGCAAGGUUGAACUAUCCCUGGAGGAAGCACGGGCUAAGUUCGUGCCAGCAGCCGCGGUAAGACGAACCGUGCGAACGUUGUUCGGAAUCACUGGGCUUAAAGGGCGCGUAGGCGGGCUGCCAAGUCCGGGGUGAAAUCCUUCGGCUUAACCGGAGAAUUGCCUCGGAUACUGGCAGCCUCGAGGGAGGUAGGGGCACGCGGAACUUCCGGUGGAGCGGUGAAAUGCGUUGAUAUCGGAAGGAACGCCGGUGGCGAAAGCGGCGUGCUGGCCCUCUUCUGACGCUGAGGCGCGAAAGCCAGGGGAGCGAACGGGAUUAGAUACCCGUGUAGUCC
rnacentral:rRNA from 1 species